CGUGUAGGCGGCGGUAUAAGUCUGGAGUGAAAGUCCUUUUUUCAAGGGAGGAAUUGCUUUGGAGACUGUACGGCUUGAGUGCGGAAGAGGUAAGUGGAAUUCCCAGUGUAGCGGUGAAAUGCGUAGAGAUUGGGAGGAACACCAGUGGCGAAGGCGACUUACUGGGCCGUAACUGACGCUGAGGCGCGAAAGCGUGGGGAGCGAACA
rnacentral:rRNA from 1 species